UUGAAGGUAGCAGUUUUUAUACGUUUUAUUAGGAAAAGUGAUACUGACGGUGAACUCUAACGCCACUUGCAUACGUUUGACUGGCGCAACCUGCAAGCGUUAACAUGGCAGAUUGAAGGAUUUGUUGAGAAGUACAAGAAAAUGAAAGACAGGGCAGCUCUUUAGAAAGGCAGUUUACAUAAGAAAGUGAUGACCUUUGAAAGAUGGUGGUGUGUUUUAACAGAUGAACUUGAUCUCUGCAUUCAGAGAUCUGUGGAGAACAAGAGUGGUAUUGUUCAGACUGAACCAAUAAUAAAAUGAAUGGAUUCCCAUACUGUGGCCAGUCGAAAUUCUUUAUGCAAAUUGAAAAAUUUCAUUGAUGAAGACUGUGGCUCCUGGAUUGCAGCUGUUGGCACUGCUGAUACGGUCUUGCAUCAAGUUGUUCACCUCAUUCAGC